AUUGAACGCUGGCGGCAGGCCUAACACAUGCCAGUCGAGCGAGCGGCGGACGGGUGCGUAAUGUCUGGGAAACUGCCUGAUGGAGGGGGAUAACUACUGGAAACGGUAGCUAAUCCCGCAUACCCUCAGCUUUGCCCAGAUGGGAUUAGCUAGUCGGUGGGGGAACGGCUCACCUAGGCGACGAUCCCGAGCUGGUCUGAGAGGAUGCCCAGCCACACUGGAACUGAGACACGGUCCAGACGACUACGGGAGGCAGCAGUGGGGAAUAUUGCACAAUGGGGGCAAGCCUGAUGCAGCCAUGCCGCGUGUGUGAAGAAGGCCUUAUGGUUGUAAAGCACUUUAAGCGAGGAGGCGUUACUCGCAGAAUAAGCACCGGCUAACUCUGUGCCAGCAGCCGCGGUAAUUC
rnacentral:rRNA from 1 species